rnacentral:lncRNA from 1 species
CUCCUCCUUCUCCUCCUUCUCCUCCUUCUCCUCCUUCUCCUUCUCAUCCUUCUCAUCCUUCUCCUUCUCCAUCAUCUCCAUCAUCUCCAUCUCCAUCAUCUUCAUCUCCUCCUUCUCCUCCUCCUUCUCCUCCUCCUUCUCGCUGUUUUCUCUGCCCAUUUUCCCUCAUUUCUGUCAGCUUUGGAAGCCCCGGUGGAUUUAGGACCUGGCAGGCUCAGCCAGGCAGAGAUGCAGGAUGCAAAUCAGUUUUGCUUUUCCCCUUCUCCUUCCCCUCCCCUGACGCAGCGAGGCGCAGGGCAGAACGCAGGAACUCUCUAGAAGCUCCCCUGAGGGAAGAGGCCGCUAAGAGAAGGGAAGAGGCUGCGACUCUUCAGCAGGAGUUGGAAUCUUUGCGGAGGAAACUGGAGAACGUGGAGAAGGAAAGAAAGGAUGUGCUGCAUGAACGGGACAGUCUGCAGGCAAACAACGAAAAGCUUGAGUGUCAGAUCAAACUCCUGGAAGAAUCAGUCACAGCCUCUGAAAGCCGAGCAAUUGCAGCCAUGGACAGGAAUCGUUCCCUCCAAGAAGAACUUCAGACUAUCAUAUCCAUCUUCCAAGUGAAAAAAGAAAAACUGGAAGCACAGGAAAAGAAACUGGAGAUGCUCCAGAAAGAGGCAGGAGAGGCCCAGGCUCUGCAGGGGAAUCUCACUCGCGUGACUGCCGACCUCUCGGAGAGGGAGAGGGAAAUCAGGCUGUACCGAGAGCAGAUGAGAAUGCUGGAAAAGAAGAAUUUAAUGCACAUAACUUCCUUGCAAAGGAAGGAACUAAACCAAAUGAGGAGGGAAACCGAGAGGGAAGCCAUGAGGGAAAAGCUGGAGCGUGUGGCUGCUGCUUUGAAGCAGAGAGAAAACGGAGAACUCGAAUGGAGGAAGAAGGCUCAAGCCCUGGGCGCUGCCCUUGCCAAGAGUGAAAUGUCCAAAGGGAGUCUGAGGAAAAAAUUAACAAUCCUGCAGAGAACAGCGGCCAGCAGGGACACGGACCGCUCUUGUCUGCAGGUAGGCACUGGGGUUGAUCUUCAACAUCCCUGAAGGAUUCCAAUGCUGUUUCUCAUCAAGAGGUGGGAAUACAAAUCAAGAGGUGGGAAAACAAAUCAAGAGGUGGGAAUACAAAUCAAGAGGUGGGA